UACAGCAGUGUCACUGACCAGGAGCUGGAUGAUGCAGUCCAACUUAUAAAAAAGGAAAUGCCAACAGCAGGAUAUCGUAUGGUCAAAGGGAGGCUCAAGACAAUGGGAAUCAACGUCCAGUGGAGGAGAGUGGCUGCAUCAAUGCACCGAGUGGACUCAUUUGGGGUGCUUUCUAGACUGGCUGGACUUGGCUGUGUUGUGCGCACAGCAUACUCUGUGAGGGGGCCCCUUUCUCUCUGGCAUGUGGACACUAAACAUAAGUUGAUAAGAUACAACAUUGUACUUUUUGGUGCAGUUGAUGGCUACUCCAGAAAGAUUAUGUGUUUGGAGGCUUCAACAAACAACCGAGCAUCAACAGCAUUUGCAGCUUUCAAAAAAGCAACC